UUGGAUUUAUGUAGAGCCAAAUACACACACUCUCCUGAUCUCCCUGUGGCCAGUGCUCUAAGAUAGCUGGUUGGAAUUAGAAUCUGAGUUUGCUAUCAUCAGAAGAAACAGAAGCUGCUGUGUCCAGCAUUAUGCAGAACUAAGAUCCACACUGGGAUAUCCAGAUUCGCCCAGGAGAACCAGAAAGACUUGAAUUCAUUUAAUGAUCCUACAAGCAAGGUCAAAUGGCGAGAGGGCACUGGGAAUGCUGAGACAAACCAACUUGAUCUGUGGAGGGGAAGAAUUCUCAAUUGAUCUAACAUUGGACACACCCUUCCCACCACAGAGCAGGGAACCAGAUUACCUGAAAGUGCAACUGGAGCAGAGGAAGGCUUAAAAUGUGUUGUCAUACUGAUUGACAUGCGACCCUCCUCCGUGGUCUGGGAUUAUCUCUAUAGUAUGAAGGAAGCUUUUCUGCCCUUAACUGAUGAGUCCUUGGAUGCCCCAGAAUCAUGGAUCAUAUAGUUGGGAGGAGCCUUUAGAGACCUAACUAGUCCUCAAAAAUGUUUUGAGGUAGAGGAGCUGCCUUCCUUUGUUCACAUCUAUCCAGAAGUCAAUGGAAGGGAUGUGGAGGCACCAGAGAAGACCUUAGGGACAACAGCUGGGCACUGAAGUCCUGGGAUGGAUCAUGGAAAGAGGAUUGUGAUGGUCUUCACAGGGUUAUGGGAAGCCUGAGAUUGGCUGGAUUUUCUGAGCCAAACAAAAUUAGAUGCCUGGUGAUCUCAAGAAAAGAGCAAGAUGCUCCAUCUUUUUUGUUUGAUGGUUUGUCUAUGUGCCUAGCAUGCAGAGGAGACUCUUGAUUUGCUGAAGCUGGUGGUCUCUUUUUUCCCUUUUCCUUUCUUUCUUUUAAAUACUUUUAUAUACAAUUAAGAUUAUAAAUUUUCACCCCAUUUACUGGGAAUGUGAUCAUUCGGAAUAGCCCCUUAUGCUGUUAGCAGUAAAAUAUGAAGUUCAGAGGAUCUAAAGAAAUUAACUGUUUGAAAGUCAACAAACAGUACUAAUUCUGAAAUUUAUGAAAUUCCUGCCUUUUUCUCUCCUCCCACUCUCUCACUUUAUGUAGUUGGUCCAGAUCACUUGAAAAGUAAUAAAAUUCUUUUGUGUACAAA